rnacentral:rRNA from 1 species
CUGGCUCAGGAUGAACGCUGGCGGCGUGCUUAACACAUGCAAGUCGAACGAAGCAUUUAAGACGGAUUCUUUCGGGAUGAAGACUUUUAUGACUGAGUGGCGGACGGGUGAGUAACGCGUGGGUAACCUGCCUCACACAGGGGGAUAGCAGUUGGAAACGGCUGAUAAUACCGCAUAAGCGCACAGUACCGCAUGGUACAGUGUGAAAAACUCCGGUGGUAUGAGAUGGACCCGCGUCUGAUUAGGUAGUUGGUGGGGUAACGGCCUACCAAGCCGACGAUCAGUAGCCGGCCUGAGAGGGUGAACGGCCACAUUGGGACUGAGACACGGCCCAAACUCCUACGGGAGGCAGCAGUGGGGAAUAUUGCACAAUGGGGGAAACCCUGAUGCAGCGACGCCGCGUGAGUGAAGAAGUAUUUCGGUAUGUAAAGCUCUAUCAGCAGGGAAGAAAAUGACGGUACCUGACUAAGAAGCCCCGGCUAACUACGUGCCAGCAGCCGCGGUAAUACGUAGGGGGCAAGCGUUAUCCGGAUUUACUGGGUGUAAAGGGAGCGUAGACGGCUUAGCAAGUCUGAAGUGAAAGCCCGGGGCUCAACCCCGGGACUGCUUUGGAAACUGUUAAGCUGGAGUGCUGGAGAGGUAAGCGGAAUUCCUAGUGUAGCGGUGAAAUGCGUAGAUAUUAGGAGGAACACCAGUGGCGAAGGCGGCUUACUGGACGAUGACUGACGUUGAGGCUCGAAAGCGUGGGGAGCAAACAGGAUUAGAUACCCUGGUAGUCCACGCCGUAAACGAUGA